UGAAUUGACGGGGCCCGCACAAGCAGUGGAGUAUGUGGUUUAAUUCGAAGCAACGCGAAGAACCUUACCAGGGCUUGACAUCCCUUGAAUGCGGUGGAAACGUCGCAGUCCUUCGGGACAAGGAGACAGGUGGUGCAUGGUUGUCGUCAGCUCGUGUCGUGAGAUGUUGGGUUAAGUCCCGCAACGAGCGCAACCCUUGCUAUUAGUUGCCAGCGAGAAAGACGGGCACUCUAAUAGGACUGCCGGCGACAAGUCGGAGGAAGGUGGGGACGACGUCAAAUCAUCAUGCCCCUUAUGUCCUGGGCUACACACGUACUACAAUGACUGUUACAGAGGGCAGCAAAGUCGCAAGGCUAAGCAAAUCCCAAAAAACAGUCCCAGUUCGGAUUGUGGGCUGCAACUCGCCCACAUGAAGUCGGAAUUGCUAGUAAUGGCAGGUCAGCAUACUGCCGUGAAUACGUUCCCGGGCCUU
rnacentral:rRNA from 1 species